rnacentral:lncRNA from 10 species
GAGAUGACAUGCUGAAAGCAAACUAAGAAGACAUGGCUGGCCUGCUGACCCUGCCUGCUCUCAUCUCAGCCCUGAUACUUUUUAACUGAAUGACAUUGGCCAAGUGUCAUAAAUUGUUUAAUACAGUGGCUGCCUCAGCAUCCAUUUUCAGGCCUGACCUAAGUUGUCUGAAGCCCAGUCUCACUGUAUCACCUCUGGUCUGGGUAACACUUCCCCUCCCUGAGUGGUUGUUUGUAAUGCGGCCCAUUUGCUCUUCAUCGCACUGACCCAGAACCCACACAUCACACAGCUGCUGACCACGAUCAAACCUAACGGCCAACACCAGACUCCUGUGAAUAAGCCCCGCUUUGCACGUGUUCUUCUUGAAUCAGCCAAGCCACACCCCCACGGGAAAGCCCCAGGACAAAGCUCCAGGCCCUCCCUCUCCUCUCUGGCUUCCCGUGGCCCCUGAACUCCCCCUCGGGCUCCCUCUGCUCGCCGGACCUCUCUGGGAUGGGACCACCCUGGCUGCGAUGUGGUAACUAAAGACAGCAAAUACUGAAGCAGGAAAGAGAAGGUCCUUCUAACAGGAGAGACAUAAUGGCUGACUGGACCGGGGGAGGGAUAGUAAGAGUGACAGUAACAAGCCGUUAAGAGUCUGGAUAUAGUUUGAAGAAAGAGCCCACAGGAUCUGUGCUAACAGAAAUGAAGGACAAUGACAAGAUUUUUGUCUAAGCAACUGAAAAAUGGAGGUACUGGUUUGCUAACAUGAGUAAAAACAACGUAUGAGGAAGAAAUAUCAGGGGCCCAGUUCUGGGUAGGUUAACUUUGUUAUUAGACAUCUGAGUGGAGAUAUUGAGUUAAGGAACCUGGAAUUCAGACGAGAGGUCAGGGCUGAAGAUAUAAAUUCAGGAGUCAUCAUAAAUUCAGGAGUCAUCAUCAGAUAUAGAUAAUUCUUAAAGGAAUGAAAAAGAAUGAGACUACCCAGGGACUAAGUGAAGCUAGAGAAGCAGGGAGCCCAAGGACUGAAUCUGGGAUACUUCCAACACGAGGAGAAAGAGAACUGGCAAGGGUGACUGGAAAGAGGCCAGGGAAGAAUUCAAGAGUGGCGUGCCCAAAGACAGGUGAAAAAGCACCUGAAGAGGUGAAGAUCAAUUGCAACAAAUGCUGGAGAUGGCUCAAAAUGAGGACUUAGAAUUGACAAGGGAUUUAGCAUUAUGGAGAUCACUGGUGACCUGUGGAGAGUGGUUUCUGGUGGAGGACAAAGCCUGACUGGACAGGGUGAAAGACAGAAUGUAAGCAGAGGAAUUAAGAGCAGCAAGGAUGCACGCAUCUUUUGAGAAGUUUUACAUCCAACGAGUACAGUAGUAUGUGGCAGUAGCUGAGGGACUGUGGGGUCAGGACAGAUUAUUUUGUAAGACUGGAAAAAUUCUAUCAAUGUUUGAAUGAAUACUGAUAAAAGUGAUCUAGCAGAAGAGGUAAAGUGAAGAUGCAAGAGAUAGAAGUGCUACAGCAGGAAAGAGGGAAAAUAUCUACUGCCCAAGUACAAGUGUUAACCUGGGACAGGAACACCUAUAGAGAGACAAUCUGGACACACAAGAGAAAUGCACCAAAAAAUAAGACACACAGGCUAAAAACACACUGAUUUCCAAUGAGUGCUUGGUCCUUACCUUUUGUUGCUCUGUUCAUUUGCAACUUAUACCUAAUUAAUAACCACUCAGAUUUCCCUUCGUGUUUUUAUUGAAUGGGUCACUGACAAAAAUCAAUAAAGCACCUGGCAACUAGAAACAAACUACAAUCUAGAUCUUUCCAAUCAUUUCAUUGCAAACUAUUCCUAUUAAAUGUAAAACUAUGCUACUUAAGAGUUUUAAAACAAAUCCAAUUAUUUUUAUUCCUAUAUUUAAUGUCCGAAUGUGCAUUGAACAUUUAAAAACAAACAUUUAAAAAUACACAAAUACAGCCGAGAGCAGUGGCUCACACCUGUAAUCCCAGCACUUUGGAAGGCUGAGGCAGGUAAUGACCUGAGGUCAGGAGUUCAACACCAACCUGACCAAUAUGGUGAAAUCCUGUCUCUACUAAAAUUUCAAAAAUUAGCCGGGCAUGGAGGCAUGCACCUAUAGUCCCAGCUACUCGGGAGGCUGAGGCAGGAGAAUCGCUUGAACCCGGGAGGAGGAGGUUUCAGUUAGCUGAGCUCAUGCAACUGCACUCCAGCCUAGGCGACAGAGCGAGACUCCUCCAAAACAAACAAACAAACAAAAAAACCCUUUGUAUAAUCCAUGCAGCAGCAGUAGGUACUGACUCACUUCUAUGACUUGGAGCAUGACCAAAUGAUUUUUCAUUAUAUAGACUUAAAUUUGUUUUUGUUCUAAGACAAAGUCUUGCUCUGUUGCUCAGGCUGGAGUAAGUGGCAUGAUCACAGCUCACUGUAGCCUUGACCUGCCGGGCUCAAGCAAUCCUCCCACCUGAGCCCCUUGAAUAGCUGGGACCACAGGUGUGUGCCACCACACCCAGCUACAUUUUUGUUUUUUGUCGAGACAGGGUCUCACUAUGCUGCCCAGGCUGGUCUCUAACUCCUGGGCUCAAGUGAUCCUCUGGUCUCAGCCUCCAAAAGUGCUGGGAUUACAUGUAUUAGCCACCACACCUGGCUUGUUUUUCUGACUCGUUACUGUGGUGGCUUUAAAAUGUGUCCACUUGGCCGGACACGGUGGCUCUUGCCUGUAAUCCCAGCACUGUGGGAGGCCAAGGCACACAGAUCACCUGAGGUCAGGAAUUUGAGACCGGCCUGGCCAAAAGGGUGAAACUACUAAAAAUACAAAAGUUAGCUGGGUGUGGUGGCAGAUGCCUGUAAUCCCAGCUACUUGAGAGGCUGAGGCAGGAGAGUCGCUUGAACCUGGGAGGCGGAGGUUGCAGUGAGCCAAGAUCGCACCAUUGUACGAUUGUUGGCUAGGCAACAAGAGGAAGACUCAGUCUCGGAAAAAAAAAAUUAUAUAUAUAUGUAUGUGUGUAUCUAUGUAUGUGUAUAUGUGUGUGUGUGUGUGUGUGUAUAGAUAUAUGUAUGUACACUUUACCCUUGUUCAUUCGAGAAGGUAAAAAAUGAAAAAAAAAGGUCCAAAAAUUCUUUUGAUACUCCUCCCUUUAAAGGGUGGAACUGAACUCCGCUCCCAUUGACCAUGAAGCGUACUUAGUGACUCACUUCUAACACAUAAAGCUAAAGUUGACAGUAUGUAACUUUUGAGACUUGGUCACAAAAAGAUAUUUUACAUGUGUGGUCAACUGAUUCUUUAUGAAAGUGUCAAGAUAAUUCAGUGGGGAAAGAAUCUUUUCAACAAAUGGUGCCAGGACAAGAGGAUGUCCACAUGCAAAAGAAUGUGUAAAAGUUAAUCCCUUCCCGUCCCACCCACCCCCAAUACAGAGUCUCGCUCUGUUGGCCAGGCUGGAGUGCAGUGGCAAGAUCUCGGCUCACUGCAACCUCCACCUCCCAGGUUCAAGCAAUUCUCCUGCCUCAGCCUCCCGAGUAGCUGGGAUUGUAGGUGCGCGCCACCAUGCCCAGCUAAUUUUUGUAUUUUUAGUAGAGACAGGGUUUCACCAUGUUGGCCAGGCUGUUCUCAAACUCCUGAUCUCAGGUGAUCCACUUGCCUCCGCAUCCCAAAGCGCUGGGAUUACAGGUGUGAGCCACCGCGCCCAGCUGUAUAAGAAUCCUAUAAAACUCUCAGAAGACAACACAGGAGAAAACAUCCAUGACCUUGGGUCAGGCAAUUAUUCCUCAGACAUGACACCAAAAACAAAAGAGACAAAAGAAAAAGGUAACUGGACUUCAGAAUUAAAAUCUUGUUUCAGGCCUGGCAUAGUGGCUCACACCUGUAAUCCCAGCACUUUGGGAGGCUGAGGCGAGUGGAUCAUGAGGUCAGGAGUUCGAGAUCAGCCUGACCAACGUGGUGAACCCCGUCUCUACUAAAAAUACAAAAAUCAGCUGGGCAUAGUGGUAUGUGCCUGUAAUCCCAGCUACUCAGGAGGCUGAGGGAGGAGAAUUGCUUGAACCCAGGAGGGAGAGACUGCAGUGAGCCGAGAUCAUGCCACUGUACUCCAGCCCAGGCAAGAGAGCAAGACUCUGUCUUAAAAAAUCAAUCAAUCAAUCAAUCAAUCAACCAAUCAAUCAAUCAAUCAAUCAACCAAUCAAUCAAUCUUGUUUCAAAAGACACUAUAAAGAAAGGGAAAAAAAACUGCAGAAUAGGAGAAAAUACAUGUAAAUCACAAAAUAUUUGUAUUCAGAAUUAUGUAAAGAAUUCUUACAACUCAAUAAUAAAAAGACAACCCAAUUUAAAAAAUGGGCAAUAGAUCUGGACAGACAUUCAAUCAUCCAUUAGUUAUUAGGGAAAUGCAAAUCAAAACCACAAUGAGGCCGGGUGCAAUGGCUCCCACCUGUAAUCCUUGCACUUUGGGAGGCCAAGGCGGGCAGAUCACUUCAGGUUAGGAGUUCGAGACCAGCCUGGCCAACAUGGUGAAACCCCGUCUCUACUAAAAACACAAAAAUUAGCUGGGCGUGGUGGCACAAGCCUUUGUAAUCCCAGCUACUCGGGAGGCUGAGAGCAGGAGAACUGUUUGAACCUGGGUGGCAGUGGUUGCAGUGAGCCAAGAUCACACCACUGCAUUCCAGCCUGGAUGACAAAGCAAGACUCUGUCUCAAAAAAAAAAAAAAAAAAAACCACAAUGAGAUACUACUUCAUACCCGAUAGGAUGGCUAUACUCAAAAAGACAAAAUUUAACUCUCAUGCAUUG